rnacentral:rRNA from 10 species
GCUUACGGCCAUACCACCUUAGGCACGCCCGAUCUCGUCUGAUCUCGGAAGCUAAACAGGGUCGGGGCUGGUUAGUACUUGGAUGGGUGACCGCCUGGGAAUACCAGGUGCUGUAAGCA